UCGUCCUUUUCACCCUGGUCUGCAUGCUAAUCCGAGCCAGCUCUUGCCAGCAGCUUUUCUGACCUGACACCACCUCCCCCCGCCCCGACGCUAGCUGCCCUGGGCAUCGUCCUUCCUCAUAAAUGCCAAACACGUCCAUGUUGGGGGUCUCCUCCCUCCAAUGUAACCGUGUUUUCUCCAAUUAGCUGCCAUCUCAAAUACUCCCCUCUCCAGCACGUGGCUCCUGUCAGCCCCAGCUUCCCUGUCCCUUCUGUCUGAACCCGGGUUUUCGUGUUUGCCUGCCUAUUGGUAGCUCCUCUCAGGGUGGAGCUCCUGGGGAGCAGGGCUGUCUUCUUGUCCUCGUCCGCAGAGCCGUGCACGUUGCCUGGCACUUACGCGCUAAGUGAACUCGGAGAGUCCAAAUGUCAGUGCUUUCACGUCGUGUUUUCUGCUGUGAACUGGAGCGAGGGCACCGCAGCUGCUCUUGACCUUGACAGCAGCUCACACAGCAGACCUAACUCACCCCGCUCCGUCUCCUCCGCCUUUACCGCUGCGCAAGCACCUGGCCCUUGCACACCGAUUGCCCAGUGCAUGGCGUUUUCCGGAGUAGAGGUGGAGGCCCUGGAGUUCACGUGUGCCCGCGCCUUUCAGCACCGCUUGCCUGCCUUCCUCCUCAGAACUUCCUCUGGCCUCUUUCCAGCAAGCUGUCAGGAAGUUAUAGACUAAGCACUCUUUGGCAAUUAGACUGGGCUUCAGUUGUUUUUUGAAAGAUGAAUUUAGAGGUAAUUUUCCAAUUACCAGCCGUCGUCAAAUAAACGGAGACAAAAGACGGCUGGAUCUCUCUCUUGGCAGGAACGGUCCUCGUGCCUGCAGGAGCUGGCCGUGGUGUCUUAGUGAUGAAUGCAGGGAAUCAGCAGCUUAAAAACCAAUUAGCUUUCCGCUUCUUUUGCUAACGUGGGGCCAGUGCUGGCUGCUCGGGGGUGGAGUUCGAACAGGGCCGGCGGGAAGUUGAGCUGGCAGAACUGAUGAAAGGCCCGCUCCAAGGGCGUCCGUGUCUCAGCAAUAUCCAGACCUUCAUCUUCAUUAGAUGGAACACUUCUGAGUCUGACCUGUCAGUGCAGGCAUGAAGGGGUGAUAGCUGUCGAUGCCUGUUCUAGGUGCUGCCGCCUGAAGAUGCCAGUAGCACCACCCCGUUGUGACAAUCCAAGAUGGCUCUGAUCGCACCCUGCUGGAGAAGGGCUGGUCCAGGGGACCCCUGCACCCAGACAACGGAGAAGCCCGCGAGCCCCCACAGCACGCCCGCACCUUAAUAAACUCCCGCUGGCCAAGUGUUUCGCUUUGACUCUCCCUUUUCUGGGUUUAAUCUAAGCUCUCGUUGUCCCUUCGAUGACAAGUCUCAAGUGGCUAUUACGAACCACGUGCCUGGAGGAUAGUCUGUUGGAGAACAGGCUCAGCCUCUGUCUAGGAAACAGGCCACAGCCCUCCCCUCAGCCCCUCUGCUGCUCUCUCCUUGCUCCCAUGGGUCAAGGCCACUGCGUCCGGAGCAGGACGCUUCUUGGUCCUGCAGUGACAAGCCUUGUCCGCGUGGAAUGGCUUCUUCUGAGAGCUCAACAUUUUCCCUGUGGGGACGCACACGUUACUUACUAGCAUAAUAACGGUCGGGACAUGAGUUUACCACACGGGUCACAGAUUUCUGUGCAAAAUGGGGACCAUGCUCUAUCCCCCAACUGGUGCAUGGAGACAGGUUAACUGAGCUUCUGCGGGUUGUUCCCUGGUCUCUCUCCUGUCCAAUGUCAACCUUAUUCCAAAUCAUAGACCAGGCCCCUUGAUGUUUACCGCAAAGUGGUUUUUAAGGACAGAGCGUCACGUAAUGCGUCGAAGCUUCGGUUUCCUGCCCUGUUAUCCAGUGCCUGCGUCCGUCUGCAUUACUGUCCAUUUCGAAUGCUCCUUGCCCGCGGAGCUAGUGCUUUGUAAAUCUCCGCAUCGUGACCAGAACAGUCGGUCCCGUUGUAAUUUGGACUCAUGUCGGGGAAGGCCUGGCCGAAUGAUUAAACGUUCAAUUUAUUUUCCAAUUAAAGAAAGAUAUUUCAUUACUUUCAAAGUGAGCAAGACCCGGGCUAGGCAACUAUCUAUGACUUUAAUAAAAGUCUUUGGGGAACCAUUA